CCUACGGGUGGCUGCAGUGGGGAAUAUUGGACAAUGGGCGCAAGCCUGAUCCAGCAAUGCCGCGUGGGUGAAGAAGGUCUUCGGAUCGUAAAGCCCUUUCGACAGGGACGAUGAUGACGGUACCUGUAGAAGAAGCCCCGGCUAACUUCGUGCCAGCAGCCGCGGUAAUACGAAGGGGGCUAGCGUUACUCGGAAUUACUGGGCGUAAAGGGCGCGUAGGCGGCUUGGCCAGUCAGGCGUGAAAUUCCUGGGCUUAACCUGGGGACUGCGCUUGA
rnacentral:rRNA from 1 species